rnacentral:pre_miRNA from 1 species
AACGCAGUAUAGUACUGCGUUUUUGUUUAAUUUUUUUUUUCGUAAAUCGCAGUACUAUACUGCGUU